rnacentral:lncRNA from 1 species
CUCUUUUUCUUUUUUUUUUAUUUUUUAUUUUACUUAUUUAUUUAUUUAUUUUUUUCUUUUUGAGACAGGGUCUUGCUGGCUAUGCCGUUCAGGCUGGCCUUGAGCUCACUUUGUAGCCCAGGCUGGUCUCGAACUCGCAAUGAUCCUCCUGCCUCAGCCUCCCGAGUGCUGGAAUGACAGGUGUGCACCACCACGCCUGGCCAACCUGGGCAGGAUAGAGAGACCCGUCUCAGGAUUGUCAGAGGCCAUCCAGGCUGGGCUGGAACCUGCGACCCUCCUGCCUCAGCCUCCCAGUGCUCAGAUGCCAGGCACGCAGGCGAGCAGCACCCCAGUGGCAGAGAAGUGUGCACCCCUGGACCCCGAGCCAGGAGGAAAUCUUCCAGUGUUCUUUCUCUCCCUCUGGCUGUCCUGACUGCAUAGACUGGUGAGGUGCCUGUGUC